CCCUACACGGUGCCUGGUAGGCGGAGACCCAGGGUCAGCUGGAGGCUGCAGGGUAGGGAAGGGUUUCAGAGUCGUGCAGGAGUGGCCAGAGGAGGCCUGCGGAGUCAGCACCUGAGCCCUGCGCUAAGGCUCCGGAAGGACCACACCCUCGUAGUGAGGACAGGUACUGGGAGAAAGGGCUGCACCCUCGCCACGGGGGUAGGACUGCAAAGACUUGCUCCAACCAAGCCUGAAACCAUCACUCACGUCUCAACAUGACCAAGGCAACGCUUCGGGGAUUUCACUGUGGGCAAGAACAGAACCUCCUCGUCUCCAGAGGAAUCCGACAACCCAGGGCCUGUCCUCUGCUGUGUACGGUUGAGAGCGUCCCCUCCUUCCUCCACAGCUCUGAGCUGGACAGACUGAAGUCCGAGAGGACCUGUCCCCCUCGCCCUGUUCUUCUGCCUCUCCUCACCCAUCUCGCAAGCUGGUCUCUGCUCUCCAGAGCUGGAGCAGAGCAGGCUGCAGGGCAGAAUGGAUGGGAAAUUUCCCCCUGGGAUACCCCCUGUGCUCGACAGGGUUGGAUGGUUACUCUUUCUCUUUCAUAGCAUUUAAAAGUGUUCUUCAAAAAUCCCAUUCCCAUCUCUGG